GACGAACGCUGGCGGCGUGCUUAACACAUGCAAGUCGAACGGAAAGGCCCUGCUUUUGUGGGGUGCUCGAGUGGCGAACGGGUGAGUAACACGUGAGUAACCUGCCCUUGACUUUGGGAUAACUUCAGGAAACUGGGGCUAAUACCGGAUAGGAGCUCCUGCUGCAUGGUGGGGGUUGGAAAGUUUCGGCGGCUGGGGAUGGACUCGCGGCUUAUCAGCUUGUUGGUGGGGUAGUGGCUUACCAAGGCUUUGACGGGUAGCCGGCCUGAGAGGGUGACCGGCCACAUUGGGACUGAGAUACGGCCCAGACUCCUACGGGGGGCAGCAGUGGGGAAUAUUGCACAAUGGGCGGAAGCCUGAUGCAGCAACGCCGCGUGCGGGAUGACGACCUUCGGGUUGUAAACCGCUUUCGCCUGUGACGAAGCGUGAGUGACGGUAAUGGGUAAAGAAGCACCGGCUAACUACGUG
rnacentral:rRNA from 1 species